AUGGAAGGAUUUAUAUUGAAAUCCUUCCAUACUCCACCCUUCAGUCAGAAGCGAAGAAGCUUCUCGGAUGGGAAGAGAAACGUCUUCAAGGGAAAAAACAAGAAAGUCCAGUUGCCUUUUGCAAAAAACACCUUUGGG